GACGAACGCUGGCGGCGCGCCUAACACAUGCAAGUCGAACGAGAGAGAGGGAGCUUGCUUCUUCAAUCGAGUGGCGAACGGGUGAGUAACGCGUGAGGAACCUGCCUCAAAGAGGGGGACAACAGUUGGAAACGACUGCUAAUACCGCAUAAGCCCACGGCUCGGCAUCGAGCAGAGGGAAAAGGAGCAAUCCGCUUUGAGAUGGCCUCGCGUCCGAUUAGCUAGUUGGUGAGGUAAUGGCCCACCAAGGCAACGAUCGGUAGCCGGACUGAGAGGUUGAACGGCCACAUUGGGACUGAGACACGGCCCAGACUCCUACGGGAGGCAGCAGUGGGGAAUAUUGCACAAUGGGGGAAACCCUGAUGCAGCGACGCCGCGUGGAGGAAGAAGGUCUUCGGAUUGUAAACUCCUGUUGUUGAGGAAGAUAAUGACGGUACUC
rnacentral:rRNA from 1 species